rnacentral:rRNA from 1 species
AAAUUGAAGAGUUUGAUCAUGGCUCAGAUUGAACGCUGGCGGCAGGCCUAACACAUGCAAGUCGAACGGUAACAGGAAACAGCUUGCUGUUUCGCUGACGAGUGGCGGACGGGUGAGUAAUGUCUGGGAAACUGCCUGAUGGAGGGGGAUAACUACUGGAAACGGUAGCUAAUACCGCAUAACGUCGCAAGACCAAAGAGGGGGACCUUCGGGCCUCUUGCCAUCGGAUGUGCCCAGAUGGGAUUAGCUUGUUGGUGGGGUAACGGCUCACCAAGGCGACGAUCCCUAGCUGGUCUGAGAGGAUGACCAGCCACACUGGAACUGAGACACGGUCCAGACUCCUACGGGAGGCAGCAGUGGGGAAUAUUGCACAAUGGGCGCAAGCCUGAUGCAGCCA